rnacentral:rRNA from 1 species
GAUGAACGCUGGCGGCGUGCCUAAUACAUGCAAGUCGAGCGAACAGACGAGGAGCUUGCUCCUCUGACGUUAGCGGAGGACGGGUGAGUAACACGUGGAUAACCUACCUAUAAGACUGGGAUAACUUCGGGAAACCGGAGCUAAUACCGGAUAAUAUAUUGAACCGCAUGGUUCAAUAGUGAAAGACGGUUUUGCUGUCACUUAUAGAUGGAUCCGCGCCGCAUUAGCUAGUUGGUAAGGUAACGGCUUACCAAGGCAACGAUGCGUAGCCGACCUGAGAGGGUGAGCGGCCACCCUGGAACUGAGACACGGUCCAGACGCCUACGGGAGGCAGCAGUAGGGAAUCGUGCGCAAUGGGCGAAAGCUUGACGGAGCAACGCCGCGUGAGUGAUGAAGGUCUUCGGAUCGUAAAACUCUGUUAUUAGGGAAGAACAAAUGUGUAAGUAACUAUGCACGUCUUGACGGUACCUAAUCAGAAAGCCACGGCUAACUACGUU